rnacentral:tRNA from 1 species
CCCGGUUAGUUCAGUUGGUUAGAACGCCACAACUUAAUUAAAUCGUGGAAACGCGGGUUCAAUUCCUGCACUGGGCU